GUUACAUAGUUACAUAGCUGAAAAGAGACUUGUGUCCAUCAAGUUCAGCCUUCCUCACAUAUGUUUUUGCUGUUGAUCCAAAAGAAGGCAAAAAACCCAGUUUGAAGCACUUCCAAUUUUGCAACAAACUAGGAAAAAAAUCCUUCUUGACCCCAAAAUAGCAGUCAGAUGUCUCCUUGGAUCAAGCAGCUAUUACGCCACUAAUUAGAAAUUAUAUCCCUGUAUGUUAAGUUUUUGCAAGUAUUUAUCCAAUUGCAGUUUAAACAUCUCUUUAGACU